UAACGUGGGGAGGAGCUUGCUCCACCCUGACGACGAGUGGCGAACGGGUGAGUAAUACAUCGGAACGUGUCCGCUCGUGGGGGACAACCAGCCGAAAGGUUGGCUAAUACCGCAUGAGUUCUACGGAAGAAAGAGGGGGACCCGCAAGGGCCUCUCGCGAGCGGAGCGGCCGAUGACUGAUUAGCCAGUUGGUGAGGUAACGGCUCACCAAAGCAACGAUCAGUAGCUGGUCUGAGAGGACGACCAGCCACACUGGGACUGAGACACGGCCCAGACUCCUACGGGAGGCAGCAGUGGGGAAUUUUGGACAAUGGGCGCAAGCCUGAUCCAGCUAUUCCGCGUGUGGGAUGAAGGCCCUCGGGUUGUAAACCACUUUUGUAGAGAACGAAAAGACACCAUCGAAUAAAUGGUGUUGCUGACGGUACUCUAAGAAUAAGCACCGGCUAACUACGUGCCAGCAGCCGCGGUAAUACGUAGGGUGCGAGCGUUAAUCGGAAUUACUGGGCGUAAAGGGUGCGCAGGCGGUUGAGUAAGACAGAUGUGAAAUCCCCGAGCUUAACUCGGGAAUGGCAUAUGUGACUGCUCGACUAGAGUGUGUCAGAGGGAGGUGGAAUUCCACGUGUAGCAGUGAAAUGCGUAGAUAUGUGGAAG
rnacentral:rRNA from 1 species